GACGAACGCUGGCGGCGUGCUUAACACAUGCAAGUCGAACGGAUAGGCCCUGCUUUGGUGGGGCGCUCGAGUGGCGAACGGGUGAGUAACCCGUGAGUAACCUGCCCUUGACUUUGGGAUAACUUCAGGAAACUGGGGCUAAUACCGGAUAGUAGCACCUGCUACCUGUUGGGGGUCGGAAAGUUUCGGCGGUCGGGGAUGGACUCGCGGAUUAUCAGCUUGUUGGUGGGGUAGUGGCUUACCAAGGCAUUGACGGGUAGCCGGCCUGAGAGGGUGACCGGCCACAUUGGGACUGAGAUACGGCCCAGACUCCUACGGGAGGCAGCAGUGGGGAAUAUUGCACAAUGGGCGGAAGCCUGAUGCAGCAACGCCGCGUGCGGGAUGACGGCCUUCGGGUUGUAAACCGCUUUCGCCUGUGACGAAGCGUGAGUGACGGUAAUGGGUAAAGAAGCACCGGCUAACUACGUG
rnacentral:rRNA from 1 species